GUUUACAACUGAUAUAUUUUUUAAAAGAGAAACAAACUGAGUUCCAUUGAAAUUAAGAAAUUUAAGCUAAGCAGGGUUGGGCCUGGUUAGUACUUGGAUGGGAGACCACUUAGGAAGACCAGGUGCUGUAGGCA
ensembl:rRNA 5S_rRNA 5S ribosomal RNA